GUCAAUCUGCUUUCUGUCUUGUGUCAAUCUUCCUUCUGUCUUGUAUCAUUCGACAAGACAGAAGGAAGAUUGACACAAGACAGAAGGCAGAUUGA
rnacentral:pre_miRNA from 1 species